AUUUUUUAUUACAAACAUUUUUUUCCUUCCAGUUUUAUUGAGAUGUAAUUGACAUACAGCACUUGUAUACGUUUAAGGUGUACAGCAUAAUGACAUGACUUACCUACAUCGUGAAAUGACGACCACAUGACCACAAAAGAAACAGAUUGACUCAGAGCAGUUUCCUCGAGGACUUUCUUCUUGACCACUGACAUACCUAUCUGCGUGUCUCUGAGCUGUCUCCGCAGGGAGCUCCAGCAGCUCAACGAAAUUGAAAGGAUUAUAAAGUGCCGUAUCAGAGGAGAAGCAAGGAAUCCAGGGAGCAUCGAUUAGCACAGUUAGCCCCAACAUGCCAAUGAAGAGGGAUCGGGUGCUUUUCGGACUGUGCCAGCGUCUGCAGCCUCUGGUUCCCAUUAGAGGUUUGUUAGACACAUUGAACUUGGCUCAGCCCUUCUGCUCAGUUGGAAGCAAAUUGUAACAGAGGGAUACACACUGUGAGACGUAUGACCUUCUACAGCAAGAUGGUAAAGUGGGAUCUUAGUUCCCUGACCAGGAAUCGAACCUGUGCCCCCUGCAGUGGAAGUGCAGAGUCUUAACCAUUGGACCACCACGGAAGUCCCAAGAUGUGAUUCUUAUAUCACACAAAUGUUGAUUUUGUUUGCAAUGGAGAAUUUACAAGAAGCUUCAAAUCUCUUUCUUACCUAAGUCUUGAGAUAGAGAAACUGAGGCUCAAAUUAAGUUACCUCCCCGAGACAGCACACUCCGUAUUACUCAGACCACAGCAGUCUGCUUUCAUGACACCGAAGCUGAGGCCGUGAUAGAUUUCUCUCUGUGUGUAGAAGGGUUGGAAGCAUAGAAGCAUCUGCCAAUGAAGACAUAGACCACAGAAACUGGAUAACGUAUGACACAGGAGCCAAGGAGGAGAGCAGCCAGGAGUGGACCAAAAGGCAAAGUUCACUUAUUUAUUCACUCAUUCCACAAAUAAAUUCUUGAGAAUCUACUAUAUGCCAGGCACUGUUCUGAGCCAUGAAGAUGCAGCUGUGACCAACAUGGAUAAGAUUUCCUGCCUUCUUGGAGCUUACGUUCUAGUGAUGGGUUGAGAUGAUCUCAUCCUAGUGUUUUUAUUUCGUUUUUAAUGCUUAGUCAAGAACACAGCACUAAUUCUAUUAUCAAACCAACACCAUGGCUGAUCCAUAUGUGUAGACCAGGAUUUCCUUGGAAGCACAGGGAAUAUAGCUGAAGAUGACAAAGAAAUCAGAAAAGAUUGAAAAGAACGUGGAAACAGAAUUUUAAAAGGUGUGGAUUAAAACUUUAUAUAAAAAUUAAAGUUCAACUUGAAUUAACAAACAAUAAUGGGAGAUUCAUAGGUGUAGCAGCGCUGGACUUUGUCUGCCCCCGGUGGAGCAGCUUAUCUGACUGGCAGGCAGAGUUAUGUACAAGGACCUACAUUGUAUAGGAGGUUUGGAGGAAGAGUGGACGUCAGAUGCAUCCCAGGAGUUUAACUUAAAACCUGCCUUGGGGGAAAGGCUGGAAGAGUAAAACAGAACCCACAGCAGAUGGAAAGCAGGAGAUUUUAAAGAUGCACAGAACAGCAACAGCAGGAAAUGAGAGAUCCUUCCUGAUCAUAAGAGUUUUUUGAAGUUCACCAACCCUCCCAUCAAGACUUUUGAAAGACAAAACAAGUUCCUUUGCCAAAGAUGUAUUUUAUGGAAAGAAGAUAAGAAUCUUGAGAAUCAGCAGCAGGACCUUAUUAAAGCAAGGACUAAAGUUUAUUUUAAAACCUUAAACUGGAAAAAGAGCAGGAGUGCGCAGGAAGAGUCACUUCCACUGAGAUGCGGUAUCCUAGGAGAGGAGACUUGGAUGCAUUGAUAUU